rnacentral:rRNA from 1 species
CCUACGGGGAGCAGCAGGGAGGAAUAUUGGUCAAUGGACGCAAGUCUGAACCAGCCAUGCCGCGUGCAGGAAGACGGCUCUAUGAGAUGUAAACUGCUAUUGUACGAGGGUAAACGCAGAUACGCGGAUCUGUCUGAAAGGAUCGUACGAAUAAGGAUCGGCUAACUCCGUGCCAGCAGCCGCGGUAAUACGGAGGAUUCAAGCGUUAUCCGGAUUGAUUGGGUUUAAAGGGUGCGUAGGCGGUAGGAUAAGUUAGAGGUGAAAUCCCGAGGCUCAACUUCGGAAUUGCUUCUGAUACUGUUCGGCUAGAGAGUAGUUGCGGUAGGCGGAAUGUAUGGUGUAGCGGUGAAAUGCUUAGAGAUCAUACAGAACACCGAUUGCGAAGGCAGCUUACCAAGCUACUUCUGACGUUGAGGCACGAAAGCGUGGGGAGCAAACAGGAUUAGAUACCCCUGUAGUC